AUACAACAGAUAUUUGGGGGGGGGCUCCGAAAAGUUGUAAGAAAAAAUGAAAGCUGCUACCGACCUCUUGCUUUUCCAAAGUAUUUUCAUGUGUUUUUGUCUCUUUAACCCAAUAGGAAAGCUGUAUAUGACCUUUUCAUUUUGGACGGUUAGCAUUCAAAUUCUGAUAGACUCGUUUCCUUGUUUAUGUGAAUUACAGCAUCAUCAGCUGCAGCAUCUGCCUGUUAUGUAAAACUGUUAGCUCAACGACAGAAUCCUAUUAAGUGACAUAUAUUGUACAAGAACAGCUCUAUAUACAACCCUGUUAAUUUCCACUUCUUAGAAUGUUUACUGACAAUUAUCAGACCUAAAAUAACAUGUUCUCAGAAAAAGGGUCAGAAACGUCAACAAAAACUGGGUGGGGAGUGAUUGGACGUGGAUGAAAGCUGAAAAAGAGAAGGUUACAGCAGGAAUGCCAACUACUGGAGUCCUCCAUGGACCUUGAGUUUAGUGAGUAAGGUCAGAGCAGAACGGGAGCUGCUACUCAGACGCCGUUCUUCCACCCAGAGAGGACCUCUUUCUGCUGUCACUGCUACACAGACUGCCCUAGUGGAGGUUUGAGGUGGAAUAUUCCUUUAAACCAACCUAAAUUUCAUGUUUUGAUCAUUAUCAAGUGAGAAACCUCAAUCCAGACUCCUCAUAAUGAUGUUUGACAUUUAUGCUGCUGUUAUUUGUUUAGUCCAGACUAAAUGACAGAAAUCCACAACUGUAAUUUUAUUUCAGGACUCUGUUAUUAAAUGUCAAAACAAUCCAUGUGACUCUAAAAACUGAACAGCUUUACAAACUCUAAGAUUAAACUCUCCACAAGGAUCCAAAAGAAGUUGGACUUCUACAUGAGAGCUUUAGUUAUUCUUCAUCUACUUUCUGAACAGUUUGGUCAAUAAAAAAGACAAAAACUCAUAUUUUCAGCUGAACUAAAGACAGACUUUGUGAUUUUUCUGCUCACAUGUGUUGUUGUAAACUUACUCUUUCAACCCCCUGAAACCAGUGUUUGUCCUGUUUUUAUGUCGCUCCUCCUAGACAGCCAGUUGUAAUGUUUUUUGAACAACACACCAUACUAUGACGUUUUACAGUGAAGGUUCUACUAUGGAACCAGUUUGACAUGUUCAGGUGUUCUUUGUGUGAAAACUCAGAGAUUUCAGGGAUCAGAAGGUGGUUUUCAACUUUCUUUGUUAACUUUCUGUUUCAACUUUAAACUAAAUGUCCUUCACUAAGCCAGCCCUCUGGACUUCCAGUAAGCUGUGUUCCUAUUGGCUGUCCAGGUGGCUGCUUGGUGUCAUCAGGAACACCUGAGCAGCUCAGUGUCUUCCUGCUUUAUGUCUGCAGUCAAACAUUUCCUCUGCUUCUCUUCACUGAACCGGGUUUGGCUCCGUUGCUUUAGUUUGUUCUUUAGGCGUUGGCUUGCAGCUUCCAGCAGUAAAAUCCUCUUUAAUGUGUUUCUUGGUGUGUUUUAGGGCUUUGUACUGGAUAGUUGUCUUGGUAAAUGUGGUUCUUUAGCCACAGUUAGCACAUGGUGCUCAUGUGUGCAGUGAUUAGUGGAUUUGGUGCAGCUGAGUUGUGUCUUUAUCUUGGCUGUAGUGAGUCUUUAGAGGUACAGUACCUGUGGAGUGGCAGACCGGGGCGGCUGUCCCUAUUUUUCAAAAGGGGGACCGGAGAGUGUGUGACAACUACCGUGGUAUCACACUUCUCAGCCUCCCCGGGAAAGUUUACUCAAGGGUGCUGGAAGGGAGGAUCCGACCAAUAGUGGAACCUGCGGAUUCUGUCCCGGUCAUGGAACAGCAGACCAGCUCUUUACCUUUGCGGAGACCUGCCAGUCUACAUGUGUUUUGUGGAUCUGGAGAAGGCCUAUGACCGUGUCCCCCGAGGGGCUUUGUGUAGGUCACUGCGGGAGUAUGGGGUUCUGGGCUCGUUGCUACGAGCCGUUCAGUCCCUGUAGAACCAAAAUGAGAGCAGUGUCCUCAUACUCAGCACUAAGUCAGACACGUUUCUGGUGGGUGUUGGACUCCGCCAGGGCUACCCCUUGUCUCCAAUCCUGUUUGUGGUUUUCAUGGACAGGGUUUCAAGGCGCAGUCAUGGUGGGGAGGGUUUUCGGUUUGGGAGCCUCAGGAUCGCAUCUCUGCUUUUUGCGGAUGAUGUGGUUUUGUUGGCGUCCUCAGACCGUGACCUUCAGCACGCACUGGAGCGGUUUGCAGCCGAGUGUGGAGCGGCGGGGAUGCGGAUCAGCACCUCCAAGUCUGAGGCCAUGGUUCUCUGCCGGAAACCGGUGGAGUGCUUCCUCCGGGUUGGCGGGGAGUUGCUUCCCCAAGCGAAGGAGUUUAAGUAUCUUGGGAUCUUGUUCACGAGUGAUGGGAAAAUGGAGCAAGAGAUGGACAGGCGGAUUGGUGAGGCAUCAGCAGUAAUGCGGGCGUUGUACCGAACCGUCGUGGGGAAGAGGGAGCUGAGCCGUAAAGUGAAGCUCUCGAUUUACCAUCCAUCUACGUUCCAACCCUCACCUAUGGUCAUGAGCUUUGGGUAGUGACCAAAAGAACAAGAUUGCGGAUACAAGCGGCCCAAAUGAGCUUCCUCCGUAGGGUGUCUGGGCUCAGCCUUAGAGAUAGGGUGAGGAGCUCAGACAUCCAGAGGGUACUCGCAGUAGAGCCGCCGCUCCUUCGCAUCGAAAGGAGCCAGUUGAGGUGGUUUGGCCAUCUGACUCAGAUGCCUCCAGGGAGACUUCCUUUGGAGGUUUUCCAAGCACGUCCGUCUGGGAGGAGACCCUGGGGUAGACCCAGAACUCGCUGGAGGGAUUAUAUAUCUCGUCUGGCAUGGGAACACCUCGGGAUCCCCCAGGAAGAGCUGGAAAGCGUUACUGGGGGCAAGGACGUCUGGAACGACCUGCUUCACCUGCUGCCUCCGCGACCCGACCAACAUAUAAAAAAUAUAUAUAGCUGUAAAGUAAAGGUUUCACACUAAAGAUGAAUGACUGAUGAACAUUUAAUGGUUUUAACUCAAUUAUUAUGAGGAAACAGAAAUCCAUUUAUAAUAUUUCUCUCAAAUAUGUUUAUGUCUAUAAAUAUACUGGACAUCAAUAAAAAUGUCUGCAUAGUGAAAUCUAUGAAGUCCAUCUGCAUUUAUGCAUCAUAUUAAUGUUUAAAUAACUGCUGCCCACGUUCAGUCAAGUUUGAGGAAUUACGGAUAAACAACGUUUCCAGGGUUCUCUGACAAAAUAAAAGCCGUGAUUUGUUUUACGGAAAAAUUACUUGACUUCAAAAAUGUGACUUUGAAAAUGUAAACAAACUGUAAUAAGUGUUAGCUAGCUGCUCCACUUGCUCUUGUUGUGUCAAAUAAAGCAUAAAACCUUCAGGUAUAAGGACGGAAGUGUCAAAGGCCGCACACACAUGAGAAGAGCAGUAUGUGUGUGCAGAGCAGAAUGCUGACUGCAUUGUGUGUGUAUGAACAGGCAGUCUGGGCACACGGCCAACAGCUGAGGCUGCCACAGGGAAGCCGAAGUCAGAUCGUCCCGGGGCAUCUCAUCGGUGUUUGGACCGUGUGCACAUGGAAUAAACACUUUUUAUUUUUGAAUCUGAAGAAUGCUCCAAGACUCUUCUGUUUUUUAUUCGUGAGACUGCUGCAACUAUUAUUUUUAACGGUGUAUAUUUUUCACUGAUUGGAACCUAAAACUGAGACAGAAGACUUAAUCUGAGAAGAAAAUGUAUUUACGACACUCUGAAUAUUUUUGUUCUCGUCUUUGUCAAGCCCCAAAGAAAAACUAAUCCAUAUUCUGGUUAUUUAUGAACCAACAACAGCAUCCAUGGAGGGACCGGAUUAUUACUGUCACACAUGUAGCUUUUAAAAUAAAUCCUGUCCAAGACACAGAGCUGUAGCUCUGUUUCAGUGUGAGCUCUAA